ACUACGGGAGGCAGCAGUAGGGAAUUUUCGUCAAUGGGCGCAAGCCUGAACGAGCAAUGCCGCGUGAACGAGGAAGGUCUUCGGAUCGUAAAGUUCUGUUGAAGGGGAAAAAGAGCGGAGAGAGGAAAUGCUUUCUGAUUGAUAUUACCCUUCGAGGAAGUCACGGCUAACUACGUGCCAGCAGCCGCGGUAAUACGUAGGUGGCGAGCGUUAUCCGGAAUGAUUGGGCGUAAAGGGUGCGUAGGCGGCCUGCUAAGUCCGGAGGGAAAGGUACGGGCUCAACCGGUACAGGCUCUGGGAACUGGCGGGCUAGAGGGCAGGAGAGGGCGGUGGAACUGCAUGUGUAGCGGUAAAAUGCG
rnacentral:rRNA from 1 species